GUUAUUGUUGAGGCCAGUUAGGAUCCAUAUGUGAUAACGAAGUUUUGUCGUCUUGUAAUUAUAGAUAUAAUACAUAAAAUUCUAUGAAUCGACGAAGUUGGAAACACAAAGCACAGUGAAGGUCAUGUGUUAUAUUUUGCUGUUUUUCUUAUGUUGCCGAGAUUAUGAUUGCAGUUGUUCGUGCAGCCAUAGAUGAAUCGAUGUUUGUUUCGAUAAAAUAAAGAAGGAAUUGUGAAGUAGAUUUGUUGUUAAUGUUUUUCGGUUAAUUUAAAUUUGUUUGCAUUUUAUGAUGUUAAACACUUUUAGGAAUAUGUCUGUAUGAAUAAUUUGGGUGCAAAACAGUCAUAGAAUCAAUAUUUGUUCGUAUAGAAUUUUAUUGUCUACAAUCAGAUAUACUGUAUAUAUAAAACAAGCAAUAGAUAUUAUAUAUAACUUAUAUAUAAAACAAACAAUAGAUAUUCGCGAAUUAAAUUCAUUGUUUGACUCUUAUUAAAUAAUUAUUGCGUAUUUGAAUCAGUGGAAGAUGAUCAAGGAUCUAGUACACUUCCAUCGAAGAAUAUUGACUUACAUUGUCAUUAAGUCAAUGUAUUACAAAUUCAAUCUAAUUAAUUUUCCAUCUACGUUGAUUUAUUUAAUUUUGGACCUAUUGCGGAACAGCUUACAUAAAUUUCGAGCUACAACUGGGCGAUGUUUUGGAGCUAUUGUGGAUUUUCUUAAGCAAGUUUUAACUCCCUUGGCCUACACGCUAGCUUCCAAUUGCGCGGACCAUAGUAAACAAGGUCGGUCGCGCGACGAGUCAUUCAACUAUUCCGCCGUGUGCUCGAACUUGCACAAAAUUUAUACUUCUUAUGACAUGUAUAUUUCAGCGCAACAAAAGGAAUUAUGAAAUAAUGAAUAAGGUUUGGGCGCAACUAGUACUUUUAAGCAAUCUUGGGCGUAAUCAUGAUUAAUUCAUCAGUGAACAAAAAUAAUUUAUUAUUUCAAAGCGGAUAAUGAAUCAAUAACAAUUUUUUGUUCUUUUAGACAAUAAUAUCCCAAAAACAUUGUCAUACAUUAGAUUAAAAAAGUCUAAGUCUCUAUUAUUUUUACCUAACUGGUCUAAAAUUGCUGUUCUUAUGCCAGGAGUUUGCAUAUACUCCCAGAUUUUUGGCUCGUUAUUUUUCUCUUCCCAAAACUAUGAUUCCGAUAAUUACUGAUAAAUGCUAUUUUCUUCGUCGGAGAUAUUUUCAAUGAUUAAUUUUCGUGAACGUUUUCGUACAGGAAGCACAAUAUCACUGUCCUCACUAUCAUUAUCAAAAUGAUCUACCGAACCACAAUCCGUAAUAAUAACACACUUCUUUCCAAUAUCAUCAACAUUAGAUUUUUUUUGCUGACAUGAUGGGUAUAAGGAAUGUUUUAUUUCUUCUAAAGAAUAUAUUUGGAAACGUCUUAAUGCAAUAAAAGUUUAACCCUUUGCACUCUGCUGUCCCCUCUCAUGGGGCAUCGUAAUUCUAGCAUAUCAUUCGGAUGUCCCCUCUCGUGGGACAUUAAAUUUGAUUAGUGACUACGAGUAAUUGAGUUAUUUCAGCGCAAUUUUUUGAGACAUGCAUGCUUCCCUGAAGUUUUCUCCUGAAAUGGCACAAGAAAUCAAAUCAAAAUAUAGUAAAAUUACUAAGAUAUAUACAAAGAAAUGUCAGCGAGUUUUGUGUCAUACGAGAACGCGAUAAGCGUGCUUACUACGGUCCGAGCACUUCAAAGGCGCCAUUUGAAAAGAGUGAUAAGGCAAGUUUGUAGAAGGUCGGUAUUCAAACAUAGCACGCAUUGUAUAGUGAGAUUUAUAAUCAUAAAUAAGCAAGUCUAAAUCUGAAGAAAAAAAUUUCUAAAACUGAACUCAGUCUGGUUUGAAGCUCGCCCGGUAUAGAUAGAUCUAACGAAUGAGAAAAUCGGAAAAGUGAUUCUUCUCUUGGUAAAUAAAUUGUUUGGUAAAAGUUUUUUUGGUAAAUAUCAUCUUGUGAGUUAGUAAUAACAAUUAGAAAUUUUUAACCUAUGUAUUUAUUCGUAUUUUUUAUUAGGACAAUGGCAAAACGUUCAAACAUGAAUGAGUCUCAUGACACAAGUAGUAGUGAAGAUGAGCUCCAGAUAGACGUUUAUACAGAUAUGUUAGAAAGACUAAUUGUAGAAGAAAACGAUAGCGAUAGUGAUAGUGAUAUCGUCCAAGCAACAAAGCGACGAAGAGACUGCAUAGAUAGCGAUAGCGAUGAAAGUGAUACGGAAGAAAAUACACCGCAACAUGACGGAUUUUUUGGAGGUUGUAAAUGUGUGUCAUUAACUCAUACAUAAUUUAUCGUAUCUCAAAACAAACAAAUAAUGAAACGCCAAUGACGCACCACAAGUUUGUCAAGGUACUCAUUGACCAGUUAAGGGGUGAUUUUCGUGAAUCGAGAACGCGUUCAUCCACAUCUUCUGUGGUCAAUAGAUUAGAGAAUAAACUACAUGUUCCUGACGCGGGAUAAAGAAAACGGAAUUGCAUUGUUUGUUCUGACAGGAAAACACUUGGUGGCAGGUGUCAAACAACUUAUUAUUCUCAAACGUGCACUAAUCAGCCUGCAAUGCAUUUUGAGAAGUGUUUUAAAGUUUAUCACACUGUACAAAAUUAUAACAAAUAAAAUAUUGAUUUUUUUGCAAAUAUACAUUUCUCGAUUUCAACCAAUUCAUAUAAGUCCAAUAUCAUUAUAAUAUAUUAGUUAGUUCCAAAAUCAUACUAAAUAAUACGAAGGUCUGUAAAUGCACAUUUCUGCCAUAAAGUAGCGCUUAGUAGCGCUUAGUAGCUGGUAGCUUGAUAAUCAAGGGUCUCUGGGCACAAGGAAAGACAACUCAAGGAAUAAAUUUUUACUGGUGGAUUAUACAUUUUGGUAAGUCAAAAGAGACUUCAACAAACCAUCUUGAUGGCAGCAGUGGACAGUUUCUGUGAUACCAGACAUUUUUAUAAAAAGGAAUAAAUUACUACGCUCAACCCCGAGCUACGUGCCAAAACGAGAGGAGUUUGCGAGGUCGGAGUAAAUGGUUUCAAUCUUUAGCCUGACCGCAUCAGCAGCUCAAGUAAUUUAAGUUUUCUUUAUUCGUCCGACCAUCUGUGACAUAACAUAACUAUAUAGAGAUUAUAGUAAUAAAAUUUUUGGUGGCAGCGGUGGGAUUGAAAAGCCUCCUAGGAGAACUUUUGUCCUAACUACCUUUUCGGCACUUUAAUUUUAUUUACAUUUUAAUAUUAUAAUAAUAGCUAACACACAGAAAUCCUCUGCCGUUGCUAAGGCUCCUCUCACUGAGGAAGAGCUUAGGCUAUACGAGGAAAAACUAGAUGAGCGCGAGGCUCGAAUAGAAAUUUCUUUGGAAGAGAAUACCGCCUUAGAACAAAGAAUAAAACGAUUGGAAAGGAAAAUAAAAGAACACGAAAAUAAAUUAAUGAAUCAAGAAACAGAAAUUCGAGAACGUAUAAGUACGACAGAAAAACGCGAAAAGGAAAUAGAAAUCCAGAACGCGAAAAUCAAUAAUCGACAAAUGGAACUGAACAAACAAGAGUUAGAUUUAGAAAGAAAAGAGAUAAUGCUUCAACGCCGCAAAAAUGAACUUCGUACCAAAGAACUUGAUUGAUAGGAAUUGAUGAUGAACGUGUCAUUAGAAAAUAAUCGUGCGGGAAGUCGGUACUCGUCGCGCAACAGUUUAAACCGAUGCGCCGACGCCAGUCCGAUCGCCAGAGGUUUAAACGAAGAAGAUUAUAUUCACGACAAUGAGGAUAGAACCAAGGCCCCGGCAUAUUAAACAAUCGCCUUAGGGGAUCCCGGAUUUAAAAUUGAGGGAAAACACGGAAACAGUUCCACGAUUUGAUGGAUAUAAUCUCUCCGUGUUACAAUUCGCGCGAGCAUGCAAAAGGGCUAUGGGGACCUAUUCCCUGAACGUCCUUCUGCGGAAGUAGAAACAAUGUUAGUUCUGAGAAUUCGGGCCAAACUGGACGGACACGUAUAUUCGGUCACAGAGGACCAGGAACUGCAAACAGUAAAGCAAUUAGUAAGCUUAUUAAAAGCAGCUUU